CCCACCCCUUUGGCCGCCCCUCCCCUCUCUCUUCCACUCUUGCAGCCGCCCCAAUCCCUCUCCUUCUUCCCCAAGUGAUUGCAGCGCCACCCCUCAACCCUAGCCCCCCCCCCCUCUUCCUCUCCAAGGUGGAGCCUCCCCGCUUGGUGUCCGUCAUGUGGGUGCGAGUCUUCCAUGGGAGUUUGGGGGGCGGAAGAAGGAAGAAAAGAAGGAGGAAAGGAGGAACCCAAGGUGGUGGACUUCCGGAUCGUACUUAGGGAUUUGCCCGAACUUCCGGUAAAGGCAAGUAAAUACAGUGGUGGUUGCUACCGUUUGGGUUGCAUCCUAUUCCCUGACAUUGAGUAUGCAUAAGUUUUAAUUAUGUUAAUCAUUGAAUUCUAUGAUGAAGUUUAUUUGUUUGGAAGUAUUAAUUCUCAAUUGUCUAAUAUUGUGGAUGAUCAUAAUUUGGUAAUGAUAUAUCAUAUAUGUGGUUGAUUCCCAUCUUGGAUGAAGUUGAAGUAUUUUUUUGAAUCACGUUAUAUGAAGUGUUGUAGGCAUGACAUGAUGAUCGCAUCAUCCAUCUUACAUUUUGAAGUUAUGUCGUGAUCUUAUGGUCCGACCGUACCGGUACAUUUUUAGCAUCGUACGUUGCCCGAGGAGGGGUACGAUGCGGCUUCAUAUCCUUAGAGGUAUGAAGGCAGAAGUCAUCCUUGCAUUUGCAGACAUUUGCACUCAUCAGGUAUAUAUGAAGUGUGACAUUACUAUGUUACUAUUGUGGUUUCUACCUACAAGGUGUGGUGACUAGGUGUGUUGUACGUUGUAUACGUGCUUCACCUUCGUAAUAAGAAGGUUGUGGAAUCAAGUGGUGGUAAAACAAUGUUCUUAUGUGGUUAACAGUUUGAUAUUAUUUUACUUGCUGAGAUGUGUCAUCUCACUCUUGCAUUACUCAAUGCAGGUACUUGAUACAUGUUGGGAAUGAGGGGAGUAGCAGCAAGUCCACUUUCACUCUCACAAUAACGCUGCCCAGGCGCAGCCAUGAUUUAAUUAGAAACUUAUUGUCAAAGGAAGUUUGUUUUUUUAACUAGUCGUGCACACUAGUUAAUUCACUUCAUGUCGUAUGUUUAACUUCUCUUUGCUAGCCGAUUAAUAAUACUUAGUAUGUUUUUGUCAUGAUAUAUGUUUAUACACUGUUGCCCCCUCAUUUAUGCAAUUUUGCAAGGGAGAUGCUGCCGAAAUUUUAUAUAUAGAUGUCAGAAGUGUUGUUUAGUAGCAUUCCGGGGUGUUGGUGGACCCCGAGGUGUUACAGUUGGUAUCAGAGGAUAGGCUUUAGAUUCUACGCAAUUUGAAGAUAAAUUUGACACACUUGCACAUAUAGGAAGGGUAUGGGUUCGUAUCUCUUUCAUAUUAGUAUUUUAUUGUAUAGAUGACUAGAACUUCCUUACUCCAAAUCCCUUUAUGGUUUGAUGGGGUAUGUCGUUAACGACGUAAUGCUUGAUAUGAUAUGUUACUUCUAUUUAGUAUUGGUUUCUUGAUGUGGUUGUUAUUGAAGAUAUUAUGCAAGUGAAGCUACUAAUGUACUUGUUUUAUAUACAUAUCGUCAUGAUGUUUUUUUUUGGGAUGCAAUGUUUUCAAAUCUCUGAGCUAUUACCAUCAUAUAUUUCUAUAUGCUUGAUUGUGGAUGUUUUUUUCCCAAAAGGAUUCUUGGGUUCUUGUACUUAUAGGACCAAUUGUUUAUUGAGCUUGUGUAUAGUGGGUCUAAUCCGACUUGGUGUAGUGUGAAAACACUAUAUAAUGUAGUUUUAUGGUGUUGUUGAGUUUGAUUGACUGUUGGGUUACAACCCAACUUAUCAAUGUAAUAUUUCCAUGGGUGCAAUGCUUUGCGCCUCACUUUUUUUAGGCUAGUGUGGCUACUUGCUAACUUGAUCUUAGUAUAAAAUUGGUUUGUCUCUAUAGAGCAGAUGCAACGUUGUAAUGUCUAUGAAAUCUUUAGACUGGUAAAACUCGAGUGAAUUUGUGACAUGACGUAGAUUGAUAAGUCCAACCAUGUCUACCUGAUAGGUUUUCUUAUUAUGUGCAACCUUAUUUUUAACAAUAAAUAGGGUGGUUUCAAGUGGAUUUUAUGUCGUGCAUGUUUUCCUUCUAUGGCUUGUUUCAAUAGCCAUAAAGGCUAUGCAUAUUUUUUUAGUUGUUGCAGGCUAGUCAUGUGGGCGAUAUUGACAACCCAUUUUAUAUUUUUUUUUAUUUGCCAACAUUGUAUGGCAGUUUGAUUUUUUUAUGAGCAGUUUCUCUAUGCAUGCUUGUUGAAUCAUUAUUUGGACCGCUUUAUCUUAAACGAAGUCAAUGCUUAACUGGGAGUUGCUUAUGUUUGUUAGUCAUCGAUCUCUUUAAUGAUGGGGUUGUUGCAUCGGAUUGAGAUUUUUCUUAUAUGAAUGAUGGUUUGAUAGAUCAUGUAUGUCUACUACUUUGAAUGCAUCCUGUGAUAUCACGAAGUACAAAUUGUUCAAGUGCAGUAAUAGUAGGUUUUGUUGUAUGUGAGGUUAAUCAAGGUAGUUUGGUUAUGUGGAUUGUCUUAUGGACGUCCAAUUACUCCUGUUGAGCAUAGUAUCGUGUUAUUAUUUUAGUAUUGAAAGUAAUAUUUAUGAAGCUUUUGCAUGAGUCUGUGUCAAGAAGUACAUUAGUUUUUCUUGUUAUCCCUCCAUUGCUUUAUGAGUAUUGCAAAUUUUAUCUCUUUUGAGAGGAGGAAAAGACGUUACAUGACAUGAGCACCAUUUGCUUCACGUCAACAGAAUAGUUGUGGAGAGCUCUAAUAGUUGGAUUCUAGUGUAAUAACAACCAUGUUUUAUAGUGCUAGAGACGGGUAUGUUAGGUGUUUCAUACAUUGUCGAUACAUGGAUGUUUGACCUUAGUGCAUUAACAAAUGAGGUUGUUGAAUUCGUUGAUUGUGGUGCUUAGUGUUCUAAUCUAUUAGGUAAAGUGUUGCUUAAAGGCUUUGGGGAGUUGCAUCCCCAUUUGGUAGUGGAAAAUCCUAAUGUUGGUCGCACCUGCCAAUGCCUUGGGUUUUAUUUUAUAUUGUUUUUUUAUUAUGGGUAAGGUGUUGUUUUGUUUUGGGAGUCAUUUUAAAUUAGUUGGAGGCUGAAUCAGGCUUCACUUAUCUAGAAUGUUUUAUAGUAGGUUUCUUCAUCUUUGCAUAGGAUGCUCAAUCACCCAGUUUGGUCUAAACAUUUGAGAGUUAUGGGUUUCCUAUAGCAGCCUUAAUUUUGUACGGAAGUAUAGACAUUGAAUACGGUAAAUUUUGGGUUUUGUUGGAUUAUGAAAGUUUUAGUAAUUUCAUGAUCUUCCCAAAGAGUAUUGGUUUGUAAUUUUCAUUGCAUAUAAUUGGAGUUAGGCUACUCUGAAGUUGUUGCACCGUUGUGUCUGAACUUUAGGUGUCGUUAAAACCACUAAUAAAUCGACCGCGUUUUGAUAGUUUCAGAGCCCAAAUUUGGGAAUUCUCUUUAAGAAAAACUUUUAGUUUUUCUUAGUACCUUUUAAUGGGUAUUUACUUGUAAUUGUCUGUUAAAUAGAUUGGGAGAGGUGGUUGUCCGGAUAUAAGUCGAAUAUCUAAUGUGCAGUAUCUCAGGCUGAGUUUAGCUGUAGGUCAUGCAGAGUUGAGGGCUAUAAAGAUAAAUUUGGGUGGAACUUUAUUGCAAAAGUCGUGGACAAUUUCCAAACUUUUCCAACGCGUGUUCGUUGUAGUUUUAAGUUGAGUAUAGCAGGAGUUAUAGUAUUUUGAAUUUUAGUUGUCCAUUGUUUCUAACCUAUCAGUUUUGCAACAAAGCAGUUGCAUUGUUUUAUCGGUUUGGAAACCAAUUCUGAGACACUCAUUAUAAUAAAAGUUUUAGGGAAUGUUAUAAUCUUUUCAAUGAGUUUAUAUUUGUAAAAUUUUGUUAGAUGCAGAGAGUUAUGAGGUUUUGAAUUUAUGGGUCAUGUUCCGUCAGGUUCUGGUGGCAGAUCAUGUAUGUCACCUUACAAGCCAAAUUAAAAAAAUGGAGAUAAAAAAAACUUUGUUUAUCCUUUGAAUACAAAAAUGUAGGUCAUGAAGUUUAGAUGAUUUUACAAUAUUUCUUUGUUAUCAUUGCUUUUAUAGUGAAAGAGGUAGAGACAGAAUGAGCAUUUGUGUUGUUGAUUGUCAAUUUUCUAUUUAGGGAUAUUUCUUCGGGAGUUUGGUUUAGUUAUGGUGAGCUCUUUCGCAAUCCAUGUUAAUUAUGUUGUAUGGUGGGAGGGAAUAGAUGUAGUGGUUGUGAUAGUUAUCUUGUUAUUGUAUAUGUGGAGCGUGGGCUAAAACAGAGAGAUAGCGAGGGAUAUUUGAAUAGGCCAGUACGUAUUAUUGUGAAGCCAUGUUUUCUGGUCUUGGCGUGUUUGCGUAAGUAUGAAAUAGUUAUGUCGUGUGAAGUCUAGGUGGAGAUGCAGAUUGUCUGAGUUAUUGGAUGGAUAUAUGGGCAGGCAUAGUAUACUUAAAUUGAUUCUUGCUUGCAUGAUGUGAGAUCAUGCUUAAAAUGAUUUAAAAAGUAAGCAUAUUGCUUCUACCCUUAUGUUGGCUCUAAGUGUCUCGUAAUGAAGAACCUAAAGUUAUUAGUCCUUCGAUGAACGCUUAAUCUUAGAAGAGUAUAGAACCUGAAUAAAUCUAUUGCUUGCUGUUUGGGACUACAUGACCAGUUUUGGUUAUGCCGCUAGUUCAAUGAAUUACACCAUGUUUUCGGUAGAGGUGUUGUAUAUAAAAAGUUGUAGCCAACUUCUUCAUCUUACUUGUGUAAAAUUUCAUGACCAUAGCUGUUGGGGGCCUUCGGCUUUCGAAGGUCCUCAAAAACGUGAUUUAACAAUGUUUCUGGAGUAUAAUACAUGAACAGGUACCUUCGGACUCGGAUCAGAACCACAGUGUGAAGAAGCACAAAGAAUACGAAGGAUGACGCAGAGCCGAAGCUAUGUGCAGGAGAGCUUUGGCGUGAUAGCAGAAAAGGAAACCGACUUAAAAAGGAAAAGGCUAUUCAGACCUUGAUGGGUUACUGUAGAGUCAUUAGCAAAUGUAAAGGGCAUGGGUGUAAUUUACAUGGGCUGCGUCCCGUGCCUAUAAAUAGAUGAAUAGUACUCUCGUACUGUUCACGCGGACUUGGCAUUUGCUUUUGCGUCACACUUGUACUCUUACCUUCUUUCGAGCCGAAGGUACAUUUGUAAUUUGAUAUCAUUUCUAUUUUUCCAUAAUUAUAAAAAUAGAAAUGAGUUGAUGAU
rnacentral:lncRNA from 7 species